ACUGUUUAACCCACGCAUAAUGCUCAGUAGCUUUGUUGCACAAGGAACGUCACACUGGGGCCUUGGUUCCUGCCCCGUGUGCCCAUUCCUAGCUUGAGAUUGCCCCCACUCUCUUGACUGUAUGGCUUCAGCAGUCUGUGAGGCCUGAAAGGGGUUGAUGACAAGGUUAAGAAUAACUAUAAAACUGGGGACAGCUGGGAUAAGGGUAGUGGCAAAGGGCAAAGGGUGGCAGUGUGUCUGGGACUAAGCUGUAUGCCAAGGAAGUCAGCAGCUUGCGGAGUCUCCUGCUCCUUUUUCACCUCAAUCCUGAGGCCUCUAGGGGUCAUACGAGUGCUGUUCUUGCCCGGGUGCUUCUAGGCAGUGCUAGUAGGCAAUUAUUUUAAAAGAAAUGUUUAAAAAAGAAAAGUAAAGAAACCUGCUCUUAAGCCUAGAUGUUUUCUUUUCUUCAAGAAGCAAUAAGCAAUGUAGACUUCAUGCUAAUAAGGCAUCAUUUCUUCUGCUGACUGCUUUUUGUUAAGGUCUAGGUAAAUAAAGAAACGUGUCCUGUGGGCCACUGCAAAGGCUACUGUUCUGAAAGGCAGCUUCAUCUCCUCCAGAGAUAUGCUUUAGUUUACAGUGGGCCCAUAGUCUUUUGAACAAAUAUGAUUUUAUGUAAUCUGCAAGUCUCCAGAGUACUAAGGAAUUAAGGCUUCAUGAACAGUCAAGACUGAUCAGUGUGGUCUGGCAUGUUGCUGAGAUCGAGAGAAAACGCCUGCUAAAGGUAAUGGGAGCAACAGAAGCCUUGCCUGGGUUGGGUCAACAGAGAUAUGUUACAGCUUCUGACCAAAUAGCUUCAAAAAACAGGUUUGUGCAAAUGGCUUUCUUCUGAUCUUUCUUGGCUGGACCGUCUUGCUCUUGUUUUUCAUUCUUCAGCCCUUUUCCUUUAGUCUUUAUACUCUCUUCUGGAAGUAGGAAGAAUUGUGCUAUGAUGGGUUAUAGUCAUAAUCUAGGGCAACUCCUUUAGCAUCACGGUACUGUUCCCUGUGCCCUGUAAAUGUGUCUCCUUGAGUUCAGUAGCUGUAAAUGUUGACUGGGUAGGGCAACAUUACUGAUACGGAAGGAGGAGGGAUUAUUUGCUCUCGCUGUUGAUUUGCAACUAAUCUCAUACUUUGCUCACUGCAAAUGUAUUGAUAUGAAAAGAGGUUUUUGAUGAGACCAUCUCUACAAACAGCUAGGUUGAGGAAGGGGAAAUAAUGCAGGCAGUUCAAUAGAUAGCAUUCAUUUCAAGGGACAGACACACUGAUACAUACCAUUUGUAACUUCUGGAAGCCAGAAGUAGAGUGUACCAUAUGGGCUUCCUUGCUUGUUCUGAUUGGCUCACUGUGAUAAUCAGAGCCUGUGCUUAUUCCCAGAGAUGGUGGUUCUUCACAAAAUGCCAAUUAAAUCUGCUUUUGCAUCACAUUGCAAUCCCCUGUUGGAAGACAACUGGAGAGUAGAGACUGCAACUCAAGUGGGGUAGCACGUGUAAUGGGACUGGUGGUAAUUUGGUCCAGUUCAAAUGAUCCAUUUCUUUAAAUCACAGCCUGGUCCUUGCCUGUGCUCUAACCUUGCUCCAGGACAGGACGCUGUUUCCAGCUGUUCCCUGAAGGUGAUCCUCCUGAUCCCAGCACUGCAGCUGCUGAAUUGUAGUUUUAUGGCGUAUAUUUUCUUUAAAAACAGACAAGUAAGAACCCCAAAUACAAAAGACAUCCAGCCAGAACUAAAAGGGUUUAGCUCUGCUCCCUCACACUGCUCUUCUCCCAAGGCUUGGUAUAUGCACCCGGCAAUCUUCUGAUGAACUUACAGCAAAGAAACAAACAGGGCAUUCCAGUGCCAGCUCCCAGAGCUUCUGCCCAGGAUUGUAGGGGUCAUUGCAGUGAGUGAGUGGAAAGCAUGGAGAAACAGCAGCUUCAGCUCUCCCAUCUGCAUCCAGGCAAGGACUCUAAAUUGAGAUUUAGGCUGAUCCACAACUGCUGGAUGAUCGUGGAUGUGCCCAGUGCAUGUGCUGGGGUAAGCACUGUCCUCCAGCCCAUCUCUGCUCCCACAGAGCCUAUGGGGAUGCUGGCCAUGUCUCCCUGCUCCCCUCCUGCCCCAAACACCUGCCCAGCCAGGAGGGGGCACAGUGCCCAUGGGGAAGCCCACCUCGCAGUAGGAUGUUACAAUAAAUUAACAGUCUCUGUUUUUAUAGAAUGCUUUAUUCACUAUGUCCUAGAAAUGUACCGUAAAUGGAGCAAGAACUAAAUAAAUUCAGAGGCUUCCAACAAUACAGAAAACAGAGAUACAAUAAAACACCUAAAAUAUCAGCUCUUUCAAGAAUAAGGCACACUAGUUUUGUGGUUUUUUUUAAUAUAUAUAUAUAUAUAUA